rnacentral:rRNA from 1 species
UAUGGUAAUGCCAGCAGCCGCGGUAAUACGGAGGAUCCGAGCGUUAUCCGGAUUUAUUGGGUUUAAAGGGAGCGUAGAUGGAUGUUUAAGUCAGUUGUGAAAGUUUGCGGCUCAACCGUAAAAUUGCAGUUGAUACUGGAUGUCUUGAGUGCAGUUGAGGCAGGCGGAAUUCGUGGUGUAGCGGUGAAAUGCUUAGAUAUCACGAAGAACUCCGAUUGCGAAGGCAGCCUGCUAAGCUGCAACUGACAUUGAGGCUCGAAAGUGUGGGUAUCAAACAGG